AGAUCGCCCGGACAGCCGAGCAAAGAGUGGAGUCGACUGAGUCUAGAAGUGUCCGGAAGGUUUGCCGCCAACCUAAAGGAGAAGACCCGUUGGAGUCGGAUGAACCCAAACAUGAAUCUUAUUUUUCUGCUGUUCGUUCUCGUGAUGACUCAUGCUUCGUGGGCUCGCUCUACAGCGACCCAGUCUCCGGCUAGCGAGUGCGACUGUCCGUAUGAGCUGCGAAGUGUGUGCUACAAAGGAAAAACCUACCUGAAUCCGUGUUCCGCUCACUGCGCGGGCGCACGGGAGGGGCAGUACACGUUCGGAAGGUGUUUGAUCACUGUGAAAUUCUGAUGACAGGAGUUAUCGAGCGUGAAAAAUUGCACUCGACGUACUUACUCGCGGCUGAGUCCUGGAGCCGGCUAUGCUGCUCCUCGAACCUGAGGAUAGUCGACUGACGGAGAUUUCCGCUUGGUCAUCAGCCGACUGGAUUGCACGAUCACUAUGUGAUGAAAUCAAGCUGCCGCAGCACAGGAUAUCUCCGAAUGAAAUCUUUUGUAUGGGCCUAUGAUCACCUCUCCAAUAAAUAUGCACAUCCUGAUCUGAAAGA